GUCCUUGCAACUACUGCUGCUCUGCACUCACCCUACUUCACCAGGAAUCUUACCAGAAACAUUUUACCAGAUCUUCUCAAUCCAACUAUUACUGCCCUGAAGCUCUAACAUAUGUAUGACUCGCAAGUGGUUUUUUUUUUAAUAACUGCCUAUAAUUAUGCAUGAUUAACUUAACUCCUAUUAACUCAAUAACAGACUAACCUAACUAACUUAAUCAGUUAUUAUAAAUACCACUUGUUGAGUUUUACUAUGAAGGUUUUACUGAAGUUGCUUGGAAGAUGGGGCUGAAUGAUUAAUCAAGGUGAACGACAACUUCAAGCCAAGUGGUGAACUCUCAAGUUGCUCAUGAGUGAGAACAAUCAUUUGAUCUACUAAUUAUACUGUCCGUCUUGUCACCAGAGAAGAUGCCUACUGUGAUCUAUUGAAUAGUUAAGAG